UUGCUAGCUUCAGCAGCACAUAUACUAAAAUUGGAAUGGUACAAAGAAGAUUAGCAUGGCCCCUGCACAAAGAUGACAAGAAAAUUCAGGAAGUCUUCCAUAUUAGA
ensembl:snRNA U6 U6 spliceosomal RNA